GACGAACGCUGGCGGCGUGCUUAACACAUGCAAGUCGAACGGAAAGGCCCUGCUUUUGUGGGGUGCUCGAGUGGCGAACGGGUGAGUAACACGUGAGUAACCUGCCCUUGACUUUGGGAUAACUUCAGGAAACUGGGGCUAAUACCGGAUAGGAGCUCCUGCUGCAUGGUGGGGGUUGGAAAGUUUCGGCGGUUGGGGAUGGACUCGCGGCUUAUCAGCUUGUUGGUGGGGUAGUGGCUUACCAAGGCGUUGACGGGUAGCCGGCCUGAGAGGGUGACCGGCCACAUUGGGACUGAGAUACGGCCCAGACUCCUACGGGAGGAAGCAGUGGGGAAUAGUGCACAAUGGGCGGAAGCCUGAUGCAGCAACGCCGCGUGCGGGAUGACGGCCUUCGGGUUGUAAACCGCUUUCGCCUGUGAAGAAGAGUGAGUGACGGUAAUGGGUAAAGAAGCACCGGCUAACUACGUG
rnacentral:rRNA from 1 species